CAAAAACAAGGAAUAAAUAUGUACAUGUACAUGUAAGCCUAAGGUAGGCAGUAGUUUGUUUAUAUACAUAUUUUUCUUUACUUACAGGGUGAGAAUCGGCGGUUACUGUUUUAAUUAAGAUUAAGCGAGCAGACAACUGAGCUCCUAGCCUCUAUUAACAGACGACAUCAGGAGAGGAAUUUUGUUGGUUUAUUUUCGUGUGUCAGCUCACCAACUUGUGCGGCCGGCAUCUUGGCACUUGAAAUUUACAAAGAUGGACAGAGAUCUAGCAAGAGGUCAUGAAGAACGGAGAUUGAACGCCCGCCGAG